GGGCCCGCACAAGCGGUGGAGCAUGUGGUUUAAUUCGAUGAUACGCGAGGAACCUUACCAGGGCUUAAAUGUAAGAUGCAUUAGUUAGAGAUAGCUAUUUCUUCGGACAGAUUACAAGGUGCUGCAUGGUUGUCGUCAGCUCGUGCCGUGAGGUGUCAGGUUAAGUCCUAUAACGAGCGCAACCCCUGUGGUUAGUUGCCAGCGAGUCAAGUCGGGAACUCUAGCCAGACUGCCGGUGCAAACCGUGAGGAAGGUGGGGAUGACGUCAAAUCAUCACGGCCCUUACGUCCUGGCCACACACGUGCUACAAUGGUAGGGACAAUGGGCAGCCACUCCGCGAGGAGGCGCAAA
rnacentral:rRNA from 1 species